rnacentral:rRNA from 1 species
GACGAACGCUGGCGGCGUGCCUAAUACAUGCAAGUUGAGCGCUGAAGGUUGGUACUUGUACCAACUGGGUGAGCAGCGAACGGGUGAGUAACGCGUGGGGAAUCUGCCUUUGAGCGGGGGACAACAUUUGGAAACGAAUGCUAAUACCGCAUAAAAACUUUAAACACAAGUUUUAAGUUUGAAAGAUGCAAUUGCAUCACUCAAAGAUGAUCCCGCGUUGUAUUAGCUAGUUGGUGAGGUAAAGGCUCACCAAGGCGAUGAUACAUAGCCGACCUGAGAGGAUGAUCGGCCAGAUUGGGACUGAGACACGGCCCAAACGCCUACGGGAGGCAGCAGGAGGGAAUCUGCGGCAAGAGAUGAAAGUCUGACCGAGCAACGCCGCGGGAGGGAAGAAGGUUGUCGGAUCGGGAAACUCGGUUGGUAGAGAAGAACGUGGGUGAGAGUGGAAAGCUCAGCAAGUGACGGUAACUACUCAGAAAGGGACGGCUAACUACGUG